UACGGCCACAUCACGUUGAAACACGUUCCCGUACGAUCAUCGAAGUUAAGCAACAUCAACCCUGGUCAGUACUUAGAUGGGUGACUGCUUAGGAAUACUAGGCGUUGUAAG